rnacentral:rRNA from 1 species
GACGAACGCUGGCGGCAUGCCUAAUACAUGCAAGUCGAACGAGUGUCGAACGGGUGAGUAACGCGUUGUAACCUUCCUCAUAGCGGGGGAUAACUACUUGAAACGGUAGCUAAUACCGCAUACCAUCCGGUUUUCCCCGAUGGGAUUUGCUAGUAGGUGGGGUAACGGCUCACCUAGGCGACGAUCCCUAGCUGGUCUGAGAGGAUGACCAGCCACACUGGAACUGAGACACGGUCCAGACUCCUACGGGAGGCAGCAGUGGGGAAUAUUGCACAAUGGGCGCAAGCCUGAUGCAGCCAUGCCGCGUGUAUGAAGAAGGCCUUCGGGUUGUAAAGUACUUUCAGCGAGGAGGCGUUACUCGCAGAAGAAGCACCGGCUAACUCCGUGCCAGCAGCCGCGGUAAUAC